UACGGAGGGUGCAAGCGUUAUCCGGAUUUAUUGGGUUUAAAGGGUCCGUAGGCGGAUCUGUAAGUCAGUGGUGAAAUCUCACAGCUUAACUGUGAAACUGCCAUUGAUACUGCAGGUCUUGAGUAUUAUUGAAGUAGCUGGAAUAAGUAGUGUAGCGGUGAAAUGCAUAGAUAUUACUUAGAACACCAAUUGCGAAGGCAGGUUACUAAGCAACAACUGACGCUGAUGGACGAAAGCGUGGGGAGCGAACAGG
rnacentral:rRNA from 1 species